AUUGAACGCUGGCGGCAGGCCUAACACAUGCAAGUCGAACGAGUGGCGGACGGGUGAGUAAUGUCUGGGAAACUGCCUGAUGGAGGGGGAUAACUACUGGAAACGGUAGCUAAUACCGCAUACCAUCAGAUGUGCCCAGAUGGGAUUAGCUUGUUGGUGGGGUAACGGCUCACCAAGGCGACGAUCCCUAGCUGGUCUGAGAGGAUGACGAGCCACACUGGAACUGAGACACGGUCAAGACUCCUACGGGGGGAAGCAGGGGGGAAUAUGGCACAAUGGGCGCAAGCCGGAGGAGGCCAGGCCGGGGGGAGGAAGAAGUCCUUCGGGUUGUAAAGGACGUUCAGCGGGGAGGCGUUACCCGCAGAAAAAGCACCGGCUAACUCCGUGCCAGCAGCCGCGGUAAUAC
rnacentral:rRNA from 1 species